rnacentral:tRNA from 1 species
UUCCGGGUAGUGUAAUGGUUAACAUAUCACACUUUGACUGUGAUGUUCUCAGUUCGAAUCUGAGCCCGGAAACCA